GAUGAACGCUGGCGGCGUGCCUAAUACAUGCAAGUCGAGCGAACAGAUGAGGAGCUUGCUCCUCUGACGUUAGCGGCGGACGGGUGAGUAACACGUGGAUAACCUACCUAUAAGACUGGGAUAACUUCGGGAAACCGGAGCUAAUACCGGAUAAUAUAUUGAACCGCAUGGUUCAAUAGUGAAAGACGGUUUUGCUGUCACUUAUAGAUGGAUCCGCGCCGCAUUAGCUAGUUGGUAAGGUAACGGCUUACCAAGGCAACGAUGCGUAGCCGACCUGAGAGGGUGAUCGGCCACACUGGAACUGAGACACGGUCCAGACUCCUACGGGAGGCAGCAGUAGGGAAUCUUCCGCAAUGGGCGAAAGCUUGACGGAGCAACGCCGCGUGAGUGAUGAAGGUCUUCGGAUCGUAAAACUCUGUUAUUAGGGAAGAACAAUUGUGUAAGUAACUAUGCACGUCUUGACGGUACCUAAUCAGAAAGCCACGGCUAACUACGUG
rnacentral:rRNA from 1 species